AUCAGGAUUCAAACAAGUAAAAAUGAGAACUUAACAGCUCUACUCGAUCAAUAGGUCGAGUAGAACCAACAGGUGACAAAAUUAAGAACUAAAAUGCAAUCAACAGGGGAUGCAAAUAAAGGAUACAAAUAACAGGUAAAUAAAAGUGCAAUCAACAGGGGAUACAAAUAAACCUAAUAGAAGUUCUAAGGAUGAAUUCAUUGAUAAGGGUAACUCUAGGGUUCAUCAAAUGGCUAAUAGGCGAAAGGUAGAUACCCAUGACGAUAGAUUCAAAAACUGGGUCAAUCCACUCUCGUGACAGAGACCCCCAUAACUCUACCACUUCCUAAUCUCAACUCUCGUUGAUGAAACAUAGCAGAGCAGGGUUUAAGAAACAAUCUACCAAAGCCAAUAGGCAGACAAGUCAAUCCCUUGGUCGAGUCUACAGAUCUCUGGAAUUCGUAGGCAGACAUCCAUUUGAACGUCUUUUGGACGCUGGACGUCUAUGAUCGAAUCUCCACAUUAGCCACCGAAAACCGCAUAGGGGCCAAGCGAAUCCAGAAGGGAAUAAACCUAAACACUAACCACCUAACUAACCUAGAGAUUACCCUAAUCUAAUCCAUCCUCAAGAACCCUAAUCACUACUCAUGCAACAUUCUCAAGAACACAAAUCCAUAAAUUACUAAAAUCAUACCAAAAUGUAGAUCUAAACAAGCUAAACAACUUUACUUAAACAAUCAAAUGCAAAAACGAAAUAGAUUAAGA
rnacentral:sRNA from 1 species